AGAGUUUGAUCCUGGCUCAGAACGAACGCUGGCGGCGCGCCUAACACAUGCAAGUCGAACGAGAGGCUCUUCGGAGUAGUAAAGUGGCGUACGGGUGAGUAAUACAUGGGUAAUCUGCCUUUGAGCGGGGGAUAACCAGCCGAAAGACUGGCUAAUACCCCAUACGCUUCCGGUCCCUCGGGUAAGGAAGGAAAGCUGCAUCGUGGAUGUGGCACUCGAAGAUGGGCUCAUGGCCUAUCAGCUUGUUGGUGGGGUAAAGGCCUACCAAGGCAACGACGGGUAGCUGGUCUGAGAGGACGAUCAGCCACACUGGCACUGAGAUACGGGCCAGACUCCUACGGGAGGCAGCAGUGAGGAAUAUUGCGCAAUGGGCGAAAGCCUGACGCAGCGACGCCGCGUGGGGGAAGAAGGUUUUCGGAUUGUAAACCCCUUUUAGGAGGAAAGAUGGGGUGGUUCGCCACUCGGACGGUACCUCCAGAAAAAGCCACGGCUAACUUCGUGCCAGCAGCCGCGGUAAUACGAAGGUGGCGAGCGUUGUUCGGAUUUACUGGGCGUAAAGAGCACGUAGGCGGUUUAGUAAGCCCCUUGGGAAAGCUACGGGCUUAACCCGUAAAGGUCGAGGGGGACUGCUAUGCUAGAGGGCGGGAGAGGAGCGCGGAAUUUCCGGUGUAGCGGUGAAAUGCGUAGAUAUCGGGAAGAAGGCCGGUGGCGAAGGCGGCGCUCUGGAACGUCACUGACGCUGAGGUGCGAGAGCGUGGGGAGCAAACAGGAUUAGAUACCCUGGUAGUCCACGCCGUAAACGAUGGGUACUAAGUGUCGGCAGGUUACUGUCGGUGCCGCAGUUAACGCAGUAAGUACCCCGCCUGGGGAGUACGGCCGCAAGGUUGAAACUCAAAGGAAUUGACGGGGGCCCGCACAAGCGGUGGAGCAUGUGGUUUAAUUCGACGCAACGCGAAGAACCUUACCCAGGUUGGACAUGCUCGUGGAAAAGCUUGAAAGAGUAAAGACCCCUUCGGGGGGGCGAGCUCAGGUGCUGCAUGGCUGUCGUCAGCUCGUG
rnacentral:rRNA from 1 species